UGUGAAUUGCAAUCAGUCGACUUGUGGCUCCCCUUCCGCCAAGUAACCAAGAUGGCUACUGUUUAUUUUUUUCAUGUUUAUUUCUAUUGAAGUCAACAACAUUACGGCGAAUGAUGAGGGUGUUGUUCUCCGAACUACUCACUCACGAUUUGGGGUGUGUUCAGUGUAACAUCCGGGUACUGGCGGCGCACAGAGUGUCCACAGCGGUGGCAGCGGAAUUGGGCAGGCCGUGUGCCAGCGCUUUGCCUCGGAAGGCGCCUCUGUGGUGGUUGCCGACAUCAACGAGGAGUCGGCGAACGAGACACUACAAAGCCUGCCGAGUGACCAGGGAGGUCAGGGUCACAUGGCGGCCGUGGCGGACGUGUCAUCCAAGGAGAGCAUCAGGACGCUACUGACGAGCAUCCAGACUCGUUACUUCCAGCCGCCGUCGGUCUGCGUGAACGCGGCAGGAAUCACCCUGGAUGACUUCCUGCUCAGCAUGGAGGAGGACCACUUUGACAGGGUCAUCCAGGUCAACCUUAAAGGCUCCUUCUUGGUCACUCAGGCCGUCGCUCAAGCUCUGGUGGCCUGCGGAGCGGCCAAAGGAUCCAUCAUUACUGUGGGCAGCAUUGUGGGCAAGGUGGGAAACAUGGGGCAGGUGAAUUACGCCGCCUCUAAAGCUGGCGUGGAGGCUUUGACCAGGAGCGCCGCCAAGGAGCUCAGCAGAUUUGGGAUUCGGUGUAACUGCGUGCUGCCGGGUUUUAUAUCCACGCCCAUGACGGACAAAGUCCCGGAGAAGGUCAUCAGUAAGGUACAGCCCACUCUCACGACACGUAUGUGUCACCGGUCAAAGGAGUACCUCAACAAGGGGUGUUCAAAGUGCAGCGUGUUUUUUAUUGGUCCAAGGUACAUUGUAACACGUGGAGCCUCUACCACCACCCAGUGGCCGUUGAGUAGUAUGCACACAUUUUUGCUUGGAUUCACUUGUUUAGCAAAUUUCACUUAGCAAUUUUGAUGAAUCUCUUUAUUUUUUGGCGUGAGCGAACUUCUCAGCCUGCCUUUUAACGUCCCGUCCUGUUGUUUGUGUGCUAGAUGAAGUUGUUGGUGCCUCUGGGGCGGAUGGGCGAGGCGGCGGGUCAGUAACUUUCACUUUUUACAGGGCAAAUUUUCUGUAUAAUUGCAUGAGUUUAUGAUUUUUCCUCUAAUUUGUUAACAAUUUAAACACAACAAUGUAAUAAGCCAUAGCAACAAAAUAACCCAAUAACUCGCUUCUAUGACCAAAAUUAAAUCAUCAGUCCAAAUAAAUCCAUUUUUGCCUCUAACCCCUUCCUGUGUUCAAGGACCUGCUCCCUAACUUUGUACACAACAACAACAACAAAAACACAUUUGUGAAAAUAGAUGAAAACUGAAACGUUAGUAUCAUAGAUCGAUGCUUGGAUCGACCCGCUCGCUCCUAACAGGAAGUGAAAUAUGUACUUACCGGUGUUAUUCACUAGAGGUCGCUGACGUAUGCGCCUUUCUGGCCUCGGACGACGCCCGCUAUGUCACAGGAGCCAGUCUGGAAGUGACAGGUGGACUUUUCAUGGGCUAAAGCCCGCCUACGCAAGAACCCACGCAUAUUUGUAUUAUUGUCCUUUUGUGUCAAUAAACAU